AUAUUCUUUCUUAAAAUUAUACUUCUUAAAUCUGUUCUUAUCAGCUUAAUAUCUGAUACGUCCUGCAUCGCAGGACCAGAAUAUUAAACUCAUUUUUGGCUCAUGACGGAGUGCUAGGGGCUUGCUCCACCUCUGUCGCGGGUUGGCCCGGCAUUGCAGUACCGCCGGGAUCGGCCCACCUAAA